rnacentral:snRNA from 1 species
AUACUUACAUAGACGGGUUAAUGGAUGAUUUAGAAGGUGUAUGGUCUAGGAAAGUGACUUUCAUUGCACGCAGAAAGGGUGCUUCUCUAAAGUCUGUCCAAGUGACAGAACUUACGUCAUAAUUUAACUUACGUCAUAAUUUAUUGUAGUGAAGACCUGCGUUCGUGCAGUCCCUUU